ACUGAAAAAGUAAACAUUAGCAUUAAGCAAGUCGCAUAAAUUUCGCACGUAGUACAGCCCUAGACCACAGUUAUGAGGAUUGCCUCCUUCCCGUCGGAUACCAAAACACAAACAUUGGAGACUAAUCUCUGACUUCUCGACAAGAUUGACGCAAUCCUCCAACAGUCUAGAGUUGUCCUGGCCUCGUCCUUGCGACUGCUGAGGAAUAUGAAAGCAUGGUUAGUUAGACACCUUAAAAAGAUGUAGAAAGUUCUACGACCUCUCAGGCCUAGGUAUCGAGGGGAUGUGGGUGUUGUUCUAGGUGUUGUUAGUGGAAGGGUACUCCAAAGUAUGCGGUUAGGCAACGUUCAAGCACACCAUUAUUAGACUGCUUAGUUAUCUGCCCAAUACGUCCUGGUUUCCUCGUCAUCGGCAUUUAUUUGAAUUACCUACUUGAUUUUUCGGUUGAGAAUCUGAAAUAUUGGAUAAUAUUAACAUUGACGUCGAAUAAGCUACAUAUUAGUGAUACGCUCGCCACAGUUUAUAUUUUUACAAUAUUACUUGUAUCAUACAAUAAAUUUACCUGAAUCCUGCUGAAAUAAAACGUUGAUUAGCAGCAAAAUUGAAACAAAAAUAUUACAUAAACAUCAAAAAAGUGCAUUCAACUUUGAGCUUGGAGUAUUUGUAAACUACUGCCUGAUUAUUUCAGGCAGGAAAAUUUCAAGAUCAAAAUUUUAUUUGGUAGAUCUUACGCCGCAACACACCAUUCUAAGGUGAUCUACCCACGUUACGGGUUACUUCGGUACAAACAAAUUGCUUUAUACAGUAAAAAACUUGUUACUGGAGUUUCGUCAAUCAUUUUGCUGUUGUCGUUAAAAGAGAGGUAAAAUAGCCGAAUGAACAGCAAUUAGAUAAAAUUGACGAAGUUAUCCGCAAUUGAAAGUUACCGAACAUCGAGGAUGGGAUUACGUGUGUGUAGCAUUGAAAAGAAAUGUUUUAUUGUUUCCAGGUAGUUUUGGAUUUCCAUCAGCAAAAAGUUAGUGUAAACAACACGGGAGUAUAAUUAGAACUUCUUAAUAUAUCCUUCUUUACUACUACAUUUUCUAUCUUUUGUUAUUUAUAUACACUCCCGAUCAAAAGUUUGGGGUCGGUCACCCCCUCAAAAACAUGUCAUUUUUUUAGGCUCAUAUCUCCGCCAAUUUGCGUCCGAUUUCAAAACCCUAGGUUUCAUUCAAAAGAUAAUAAAUCAAAGAAACUUUGAACAUGAUUUAAAAGAAACUUUUUCGUAAAGUUUUGUAUGUAAACUUAAUCCAAUGUUGCAAAAUUUUCUAAAAAAUGAAUAUAAACUUAGGGCGGUGUCGCUGGAAAUUGGGUCGACCAAAUUUUAAGAUGAGAGCGGCUAUAUGACCCAUUUUCUAUUAGCUUUCAACUGGUUUUUACAGAACUUAGCUAAAAAAUCUAGAAAAAAAGUUAUUUGGUAAAUUCAUGUCAUGUCAUCGACCAAAAGUUUGGGGUCACCCCUCAAUAUGAUGUAUCGGCCAAAAGUUUGCAGUCACUUUCGUAAAACAUGGAAAAGUGAUUUGGUGAUAUCUUCGUCAUCUAUAGUUCAAUUUUAAUUAUUUUUGGCUCAUUUCAAAAAUAAUUAACUAAAUUUACGUUUGAUGUCUUUAACUUAACGUAUUUAACGAUUUUUGUGUAUGAAAAUGUUAUGUAAAGUUAACACAUUUCACCACACUUCAAAAAAUGAGGCAACUUUACGUUAAGUUUUAGUAUGUAAAUUUCAACAAAUAUGUGUGGUUCAAUGUCUAUGCAGUAAGUAUCAUUCAUUUUGUUUCAAAUAAGCCAAGAAGAAUUAAAAUUGAAUGAAAGAUGACAAAGAUAUCAACAAAUCACCUUUCCAUGUUUUACGAUAGUGACCCCAAACUUUUGGUCGAUGACAUCAAGGAUUAAUUUACUUAAUAACUUUUUUUUCUAGAUUUUUUAGCUAAGUUCUGUAAAAAGCAGUUGAAAGCUAAUAGAAAAUGGGUCAUAUUACCGCUCUUAUCUUAAAAUUUUGUCAACCCAAUUUCCAGCGACCCUGCCGUAAGUUUAUAUUUUUUUUUUUAGAAAAUUUGGCAACUUUGGGUAAAGUUUUCAUACAAUUUUUUUUGAAAAAUUUCUUUUAAAUCAUGUUUAAAGUUUCUUUGACUUAUAAUCUUUUGAAUGAGAUAUGGGGGUUUGAAGUCGGACGCAAAUUGGCGAAGAUAUGGGCCUAAAAAAAUGACAUGUUUUUGAGGGGAUGACCCCAAACUUUGGAUCGGGAGUGUAUUUUGUAUUUUGACAUUUUGACCUAUUGCCAAAUAAAGCCAGUAUCCGCAAUAAUCGGGACACAGAAGUACGGCUGUAGCUCUGUAAUGAAUCGGUAUAAGUGACCAAAUAAAUGACUGAGAACUCUUUGGUGUAUGUUUAUUGUGUUUAUUGUGCAAAAUUUCAUAAAAAUCGAUGCAUUACUUUUAACUGUAUAUGAAAAACAAACAGACGUGGUUUUAAGCACUUUGUACAAUCAUGACCAAUUUUCAUUCGCAUUAUAGAUGAUUAUUUUACGCUACAGUUCAAAGUUCUAUUAAGAUAUUUAUGAAAUUUUGUUAGUAGCUAUGAUACUUAUAUACACACUUUUUUGCAAAAUUUCAUCAACUUUGAUCGAUUGGUUUGAAAGCUACUGGUGUUGAUAGGGCUGAGUGUUAGUAAAAUUUUUUCGUGUUUUUCAUGUGCGCUGUUUGCCUAUUUAUAAAAUUUGAAUUUCUCUGCCAAUUUUCAUGAAAUUUUCACAUAGGGUAGCUGAUUAUGUGUCUUUUACAUAUGUCUGCAAAAUUUGAUGAUUAUUGGUAUAGUACUUUCAAUAGUAUAAUCGGUACAAUAAAUGUGACGGCGAACAGGUCUAACUUCCAAAUAGCUAUACGCAUGUUUUACAUCGGACCGGCUGAACUGACAACGAUGAUUGACAAACGAGAACAAUGUAGCUACCGAAUCAUAAGCUAGUGGUUGGUCGUGUGUAUGCAAACGUGUAAGCACUGCAAUAUCGAAAAUUCUUUAUUAUUAUUAAUUGAACUCGUUAUCUACGGGUAGUUUUGGUGAAUUAUUAUAUUAUUUUUCCAUAGUGUACUCGUGAGGUAUAGUUUAAAACGCUAAAACUUCGAACAAUUUGUUAUCGUCAUCUACCGUUUCUCUACAGUUUCUCACACGUGCAGUUAUUGAAUCACCAAUCUCAUAGGACAGAUAUACUCUAAAAUACAAUUUAUCUUACACGAUCAAGCAAAUACUUUAAAACUUAACCUAGAAGCUACCAGCUACGAGAGGGAUUCAGGUGAAGUUCAGUACUGAAGAUUUUUAAAGUUGCCCUGAAACUACUGCGUUUGUGGUUCCGCCGCUAGAAAAUUCAGUGAGAACAUUCUUUAAAAAUCUUCAUCGAUUCCUCCAGCAUGGCUACUUCGAAAGUGAACGAUCCACAGGAGCAGCGAAACUGCGUGAACUGCAACCGCCCCGACCACAUCGAAGACAUGGUGGCGUGCGAUGAUUGUAGUGCCUGGUAUCAUUACGGCUGCGCUGAUGUUGACUUCCCAGUCAACCAGUCAUCGUAUAAGAUGUUGUAUAAGAUGUUAAAGUGGAGGCGAU